UUCUGAUGCCAUGUAAUAUUAAAAACAUACCAUACUUCAAUUUGAGCCCUGACAUUUUCAUGAAUAUUUUCUGGAUAAUUGUUAGACAAAGAUCAGCCUGUGUGUCAUGGUCUGGGUGAAUCGUAGUAAAUUUCCACAGUGCCUGUUCUCUGCCUUUAGGCGGAGCCUUAGCUGCUCCUCCCCAGAGUGCCACCUGAGACUGAUUAAGCCAUCUGUAUUUGAAAUUUCAGACCAGCGUCCACAACCAGCCUUCACUAACCCACGUUAGUGUUUGGCCUCAUGUUUCUUACAGCGCUCAUUGUUCUGGUACUCACCACUGUGUUCUUGUCUUUCCAUUUGUUUCUUGACUUGCAUUACAAACUUGCAAUAGCCUCGCUUGCCUGGAUGCUGGACUCCAUUGUACUCCAAAUAGCUGAUAAAAAGUCUCAAUCAGUUUUCUCCGGUCUCACCUGGCUGCCUCCCUCCUCUGUUUUGGAAUCAUGGAUCACUACUUCACUGGACUCACCCAGGCCUCAUCCUGCUUCCUCCCUCUCGCAUGACACCACCUGCAACCAAUGACUUUCCACCACCCACUCCCGUACCACUGUUCCCCCUCGCUGAGUCCCAUCAACCACCAUUCAUGUUCUGGGACAAUCUAGUUUAAAGCCCCUAAGUCUAUGAACAUAGUGCUCCACGUUAGGGCUGGAUGGUUGUGGAAUAAAAACACCACAUAUGUCCCACCAGGAUUUGAGAGCCACAAGGACGGAGUCAAAG